rnacentral:rRNA from 1 species
UGAGGAAUAUUGGUCAAUGGACGCAAGUCUGAACCAGCCAAGUAGCGUGCAGGAUGACGGCCCUAUGGGUUGUAAACUGCUUUUAUAUGGGGAUAAAGUGCGUGACGUGUCAUGCAUUGCAGGUACCACAUGAAUAAGGACCGGCUAAUUCCGUGCCAGCAGCCGCGGUAAUACGGAAGGUCCGGGCGUUAUCCGGAUUUAUUGGGUUUAAAGGGAGCGUAGGCUGUCUAUUAAGCGUGUUGUGAAAUUUACCGGCUCAACCGGUGGCUUGCAGCGCGAACUGGUCGACUUGAGUAUGCAGGAAGUAGGCGGAAUUCAUGGUGUAGCGGUGAAAUGCUUAGAUAUCAUGACGAACUCCGAUUGCGCAGGCAGCUUACUGUAGCAUAACUGACGCUGAUGCUCGAAAGUGCGGGUAUCAAACAGG